rnacentral:tRNA from 1 species
GCCUGGGUGGCUCAGUCGGUUGAGCGUCCGACUUCAGCUCAGGUCAUGAUCUCACAGUUUGUGGGUUCGAGCCCCGCGUCAGGCU